rnacentral:lncRNA from 1 species
UAUUUAGGACAGUAAAACAUUUAAUGCCAUUUAUCUUAUUAAUAUGAACACUAAGGAGAGUCAAAAUUGAGUAUCUACUGUAUUAAUAUUUGAGUUCGUAACACCUACUAUAAAUGUAUAUAUUAUUUGUUGGACAAUGGAAACUUUUCUCACACAAGGCACCUCCUUAAGCGCCUCGUCUAAGCUGUUGCAAGAGCAAUGCAAACACACAGUUUGCUCGCUCAGUUUUAGCUCCGUUCUGAUUCCGUCUCUGUCUCUGUAGCUGUCCUUAUUUUCCUGUCCGUCUGUUGAUGUUCCUGUCUCCGGCUCAUUGUUCGUCUCGGUUCAGUUUGGUUUGGUUCCGUAAAUUACACUUUUGAUUUUUAGUGGCCGUAAAAUAAUCGUAAAUGUCGUGGUUAUUGCGACCGAAAGUGCCCAUUUUGAGUGCUGCUGCUGCUGCUUUCUGUUGCUCCUCCGUAUCACCCCUCUAUAACUGAUAUUUCAGCCAACUCGGUGCAGUGUGCGGACAUGGGACGGCCACCAAGUUGGUUGGGAACGUGCUGCCACUGCACAAGCAGCACGAAUCCCUCCACUCCCCUGCCCACUCUAUCCCCGCGGGGGGCACGUUGCACUUGUUGUUUUUAAUAAGUUUGUGGCGGUUGUUGUUCCUGGCUUUCUUCUGCCUGGCUGAUGCUCCCUUGAUGUUUCGAUUAAGUUCGGAGUUCGCUUCGUCGAACUGGUUGGAUGGGUCUGAGUCUGAGUCUGAGUCUGGCCUGUCCCUGCCACAGCCACUGCUUCUUCCUCCCUCUCUGAGGGAGCAGUUUGGCUUAAGUUUAUGGCCAUUUCGUUCGUUUCACUGUCUUGCGGUUUCGAUGUUGCUUGUGGGGCUUGGCCGUUCCUCUGCCUGUGGAGCUGCCGUCGAGCUGAUUUUCUUGAGCAUUUCACCCAUUUACCUUUAUAUAUUUCGGCUUGUUCAAGACAUUUUCUCACAUCGCAGCUCACGGGGCUCCUCUGCCACACGGCUCUUCGUCUCUGACGCAACUGGUUGCCCAUUGGCCCGCCAGCUCUCUUCUCUACCACGCUCCAUGCACUCUACACUCAAAAAUUUCGAAUUUGAUUUUAUUGUUAUGAUUUCAAUUGUUUUCCCAAUGUAAACACUGGAGAGUGCCAGCACAGAGAGGGCCAACAUGUCGGGUUUUCGGUUAAAU